UACGUAGGGUGCAAGCGUUGUCCGGAAUUAUUGGGCGUAAAGAGCUCGUAGGCGGUCUGUUGCGUCGGCUGUGAAAACCCGAGGCUCAACCUCGGGCCUGCAGUGGGUACGGGCAGACUAGAGUGUGGUAGGGGAGACUGGAAUGCCUGGUGUAGUGGUGAAAUGCGUAGAGAUCAGGCAGAACACCUGGGGCGAAGGCGGCCAGCUGGGCCGUCCCUGACGCUGAGGCGCGAAGGCGUGGGGAGCGAACGGG
rnacentral:rRNA from 1 species